UCCUCAGCUAGGCAAGUCCUUACCCGUCUCUCCUUUUGGAGGGCAGACAGAGAAUGAUUACUGGAGGUUUUGUGUAACCAGAACCUAUGGCGUCUUGAUUGUUUCUAUCUGUG